CUACGGGGCGCUGCAGUGGGGAAUCUUGGACAAUGGAGGAAACUCUGAUCCAGCGAUCCUGCGUGGAGGACGACGCCUUACGGGGUGUAAACUCCUUUUUUGGGGGAAGACGACUGACGGUACCCCAAGAAUAAGGGACGGCGUAACUACGUGCCAGCAGCCGCGGUAAUACGUAGGUCCCAAGCGUUAUCCGGAUUUACUGGGCGUAAAGCGUCUGUAGCUGGGUGUGCCAGUCUGUUUUCAAAUACUGCGACUCAAUCGUAGAAAGGGAAUGGAUACUACACAGCUAGAGGUUGUGAGGGGUUAGUAGAAUUUCCGGUGGAGCGGUGAAAUGCGUUGAUAUCGGAAGGAAUGCCAAAAGCGAAAGCAGCUAACUAUUACAAACCUGACAGUGAGAGACGAAAGUCUGGGUAGCAAACGGGAUUAGAUACCCUAGUAGUC
rnacentral:rRNA from 1 species